CGGAGGAAAAGAAACCAACCGGGAUUCCCCCAGUAACGGCGAGCGAAGCGGGAACAGUUCGCGCCUCCAAUCUCCGGCGCAGUCGCCGGCGAAUUGUGGCCGCCAGAGGUGUCCGUCGUCGAGACUCUCUGCUCCGAAGUUGACCUGGAACGGCACGUCAGAGAGGGUGAGAGCCCCGUGCGCGGAGCAGGGCGUCGCGGCUUUGGUCGCCUUCGCAGAGUCGGGUUGUUUGGGACUGCAGCCCAAAGUGGGUGGUAAACUCCAUCUAAAACUAAAUACUGGCACGAGACCGAUAGCGAACAAGUACCGUGAGGGAAAGGUGAAAAGCACUUUGAAAAGAGAGUCCAAGAGACCGCGAAACCGUUGGGAGGGAAGCGAAUGCGAGCGCGACGGCUCCGUGCGGGUUCAGGGAGGCGACGUGCCCCGGUCGCGGGCGCCUAAGGGCAAACGUGGUCGAGGCUCGUCUCCGUUCCGCUCUCCCGCGCCGGAGCUCCCAGCGUCGCUGGCGUCCACCGCCGUCGGCUUCGAGGAAGGUGACCGUGGCUCGCCUUCGGGCGUCUACGGAGCUUACAGCCGAUGUCGGCGCGAGUGGAGGCGAGCGUGGUGAACGCGACGCUUCGCGUGGCAGUGCGGGCCUCUCCCCUCGUGGGAGCGGGCCGGGUCUCUUCUGGGCGGGCGGGCCAGCCGGCGAGGGACUGCUCGACAGUGCCACGUUGUGCUCGGUCUGGUCGUCCGGGAGGUGGACGACGACUCGCGCUGCAGUCGCUGGGACCACUGGCGCUCGCAUCCGACCCGUCUUGAAACACGGACCAAGGAGUGUAGCAUGCGCGCGAGUGUUCGGGGUGGGAGCCCCCGGAGCGUAAUGAAGGUGAAGGCGGUCUCUACGAUCGCCGAGGCGCGGGCCCGUCUCUCCGGCGGGCGCAGCGUCGACCGAUUCCGACCCACGCCGUGGCGGGAUUCGAGUUGGAGCGUGCAUGUUGCGACCCGAAAGAUGGUGAACUAUGCCCGAGUAGGGCGAAGCCAGAGGAAACUCUGGUGGAGGCUCGCAGCGGUUCUGACGUGCAAAUCGAUCGUCAAACUUGGGUAUAGGGGCGAAAGACCAAUCGAACCGUCUAGUAGCUGGUUCCCUCCGAAGUUUCCCCCAGGAUAGCUGGAGCCCGGUGCAGUUUUAUCAGGUCAAGCGAAUGAUUAGAGGUCUUGGGGUUGAAACAACCUCAACCUAUUCUCAAACUUUAAAUGGGUAAGACGGUCGGCUUGCUCGAUUGAAGUCGGCCAGGCGAAUGCCGGGGCUCCUAGUGGGCCAUUUUUGGUAAGCAGAACUGGCGAUGCGGGAUGAACCGAACGCCGGGUUAAGGUGCCGGAGUCGACGCUCAUCAGAUCCCAGAAAAGGUGUUGGUUGAUCUAGACAGCAGGACGGUGGCCAUGGAAGUCGGAAUCCGCUAAGGAGUGUGUAACAACUCACCUGCCGAAUCAACUAGCCCUGAAAAUGGAUGGCGCUGAAGCGUCGCACCCAUACCCGGCCGUCGGGGCGAGCCGAACGGUCCCCGACGAGUAGGAGGGCGCGGCGGUGGCUGUGCAGCCUCGCGCGCGAGCCGUGGCGAAGCCGCCGCCGGUGCAGAUCUUGGUGGUAGUAGCAAAUAUUCAAACGAGAGCUUUGAAGACUGAGGUGGGGAAGGGUUCCAUGUGAACAGCAGUUGGACAUGGGUUAGUCGAUCCUCAGAGGAGGGAGAGUUCCCCGUGCAAGGCGCGAUCGCCCUCGGGCGAGGACGCCGUUCCUCGAAAGGGAAUCGGGUCAACAUUCCCGAACCGGGCUGCGGAUGGGCCUUCGGGCCGGCAGCGGCGACGCAAGCGAACUCGGGGACGUCGGCGAGGGCCCCGGCAAGAGUUCUCUUUUCUUGUUAACGGGCCGACACCCUGGAAUCAGGUUGGCUGGAGAUAGGGUUGCGCGUCCGGUAAAGCGCCACACUUUUGGUGGCGUCCGGUGCGCCCUCGACGGCCCUUGAAAACCCGAGGGAGUGGGUGAUUGUCGCACCCGGUCGUACCGAUAACCGCAUCAGGUCUCCA
rnacentral:rRNA from 1 species